UAAUGUAUGGGGAUCUGCCCGAUAGAGGGGAAUAACUACUGGAAACGGUGGCUAACACCGCAUAAUGUCUACGGACCAAAGCAGGGGCUCUUCGGACCUUGCACUAUCGGAUGAACCCAUAUGGGAUUAGCUAGUAGGUGGGGUAAAGGCUCACCUAGGCGACGAUCUCUAGCUGGUCUGAGAGGAUGAUCAGCCACACUGGGACUGAGACACGGCCCAG
rnacentral:rRNA from 1 species